AGAUGUCUUAAAGCCUGGCUCCCAGCAUGUGCCUGCGAUUACCACCGCAAAUGGACAGACCGGUGGCCUGAUUGAUUGAUGGAUGAAAAGGUGGCACGUACCUGCCUCUUCUUGGAGUAUGGACGAGUCGAACCGGGCACAAGCAUGGAGCUGCGGGUGAGUCCCGGCUGGCGCUGGCGCGGCGCAGUGAGCACCAGCUGACGAAGAGGGCUCCCCGGCCUCGGCUCCUGCCUGACUCUCUCCCACCUCCGCCGGGGGCCCAGAAGGGACCUCCCCGGGAAAUCGGCGCCACCCAGCGGGCAGCCGCCUCAUCGCGCCUGGGCCGGCAGAGCCACACCCCGCGUCUCGCGUCACUGAGUCGCGUCACGGCUAUUGGCUUGUUCCUACUGUGGCGUCAUUAGAGCCCGGCCUCCGGCUGGGGCCACCCAGGCAACCGAUAUACACAGAGAACCACGUGGAGGAAAAGCACGCGAGUUUGGAGCGGGUGGAGCAGGAACAGAGGUGGACUGGAAUGUCACACGACGGGGCAGCUGGAAGGGCACCACUGAGUUCAGUACUUCAAAAUUGCCGUGCUCUACCUCUCCCCAGUGCACAAAAACACUCUCCACACCAAGCUGCUGCUGCUGGGGGAUGGAGGGAUGGCGUCAGCGAUUCAAGACUGUUUUUCCUACCUGUUCAGCACUUCUUUCAGCGAUAUGAAGUUAAAUCCAGUCUUUCCCUGUCUCCAGGCAUCAUCGCCAUCAACAUACAGCCAUACUCCAGGAUUGCCCAUCUUCAACAUAAACGGACUCUCCUGGACUCCACUUCCCACAUCAGUCACAGCCACACUUCCUGAGAAAGAAGUCUACACUCUUCAUUCACUUUCAUUCACCCACUUCCAACCUGGCUCCUGUUACCACUGGACCGUCAAAAGUGACUCUUGUCAAAGUCACUAUUCUGGCUACCUAUUGCUGUGUAAUAACCUCCUCAAAAUUUAGUAUCUUUAAAAAACAA
ensembl:lncRNA USP2-AS1 USP2 antisense RNA 1